AGUCGAGCGGUAGAGAGAAGCUUGCUUCUCUUGAGAGCGGCGGACGGGUGAGUAAUACCUAGGAAUCUGCCUGAUAGUGGGGGAUAACGUUCGGAAACGGACGCUAAUACCGCAUACGUCCUACGGGAGAAAGCAGGGGACCUUCGGGCCUUGCGCUAUCAGAUGAGCCUAGGUCGGAUUAGCUAGUUGGUGAGGUAAUGGCUCACCAAGGCUACGAUCCGUAACUGGUCUGAGAGGAUGAUCAGUCACACUGGAACUGAGACACGGUCCAGACUCCUACGGGAGGCAGCAGUGGGGAAUAUUGGACAAUGGGCGAAAGCCUGAUCCAGCCAUGCCGCGUGUGUGAAGAAGGUCUUCGGAUUGUAAAGCACUUUAAGUUGGGAGGAAGGGUAUUAACCUAAUACGUUAGUACUUUGACGUUACCGACAGAAUAAGCACCGGCUAACUCUGUGCCAGCAGCCGCGGUAAUACAGAGGGUGCAAGCGUUAAUCGGAAUUACUGGGCGUAAAGCGCGCGUAGGUGGUUUGUUAAGUUGAAUGUGAAAUCCCCGGGCUCAACCUGGGAACUGCAUCCAAAACUGGCAAGCUAGAGUAUGGUAGAGGGUAGUGGAAUUUUCCUGUGUAGCGGUGAAUUGCGUAGAUAUAGGAAGGAACACCAUUGGCGAACGCGACUACCUGGACUGAUACUGACACUGAGGUGCGAAAGCGUGCGGAGCAAACAGGAUUAGAUACCCUGAUAGUCCACGCCGUAAAACGAUGUCAACUAGACGUUGGAAGUCUUGAACUUCUUAUUGGCGCAUCUAACGCUUUAACUUGAACCGCCCUGGGGAGUAC
rnacentral:rRNA from 1 species